rnacentral:sRNA from 1 species
GGGGGGUAAUAAGACGCAGUAUGAUGAGAUUGGCAUUCCCGUGGCCCUGCUCAGCUACAAAGACAUGCUGGACAUCUUCAGGCGUUUCGGCCGCAUGGUGAGGGCGGCGCUGUAUGCGCCUAAGGAGCCGGUGCUGGACUACAACAUGGUCAUCAUCUUCAUCAUGGCUGUGGGCACCGUCGCCAUCGGCGGCUACUGGGCCGGGAGUCGGGACGUGAAGAAGUACAUGAAGCACAAGCGCGACGAUGGGCCCGAGAAGCAGGAGGACGAGGCGGUGGACGUGACGCCGGUGAUGACCUGCGUGUUUGUGGUGAUGUGCUGCUCCAUGCUGGUGCUGCUCUACUACUUCUACGACCUCCUCGUGUACGUGGUCAUCGGGAUCUUCUGCCUGGCCUCCGCCACCGGCCUCUACAGCUGCCUGGCGCCCUGUGUGCGGCGGCUGCCCUUCGGCAAGUGCAGGAUCCCCAACAACAGCCUGCCCUACUUCCACAAGCGCCCGCAGGCCCGUAUGCUGCUCCUGGCGCUCUUCUGCGUGGCCGUCAGCGUGGUGUGGGGCGUCUUCCGCAAUGAGGACCAGUAAGUGCUGCUUCCCCCGGGCCCCGGCGGACAGUGGCGUCCUCAGAUGCACCAGGGCUCCUGGGGCCCUGACUCCCUGCCCUCCCUGGAGGCCGCCCCAGCCUGGAGCUGCUUCAGCACCGCGUUAUGAAAAGCCCUGGCCCCGGGCUGCUCUGACAGUGCUGUGAGGUCGU